rnacentral:rRNA from 1 species
UAGAAUUCCACGUGUAGCGGUGAAAUGCGUAGAGAUGUGGAGGAAUACCGGUGGCGAAGGCGGCCUUCUGGACAGAUACUGACGCUGAGAUGCGAAAGCGUGGGGAGCAAACAGGAUUAGAUACCCUGGUAGUCCACGCUGUAAACGAUGUCGAUUUGGAGUUUGUUGCCCUAAGUGAUGGGCUCCGAAGCUAACGCGAUAAAUCGACCGCCUGGGGAGUACGGCCGCAAGGUUAAAACUCAAAUGAAUUGACGGGGGCCCGCACAAGCGGUGGAGCAUGUGGUUUAAUUCGAUGCAACGCGAAGAACCUUACCUGGUCUUGACAUCCACAGAAUCUUGCAGAGAUGCGAGGGUGCCUUCGGGAACUGUGAGACAGGUGCUGCAUGGCUGUCGUCAGCUCGUGUUGUGAAAUGUUGGGUUAAGUCCCGCAACGAGCGCAACCCUUAUCCUUUGUUGCCAGCGAUUCGGUCGGGAACUCAAAGGAGACUGCCGUUGAUAAAGCGGAGGAAGGUGGGGACGACGUCAAGUCAUCAUGGCCCUUACGACCAGGGCUACACACGUGCUACAAUGGCGUAUACAAAGGGAGGCGACCUCGCGAGAGCAAGCGGACCUCAUAAAGUACGUCUAAGUCCGGAUUGGAGUCUGCAACUCGACUCCAUGAAGUCGGAAUCGCUAGUAAUCGUGAAUCAGAAUGU